rnacentral:rRNA from 1 species
CCUACGGGAGGCAGCAGUGAGGAAUAUUGGUCAAUGGCCGGAAGGCUGAACCAGCCAUGCCGCGUGAAGGUCAGUGCCCUUUGGGCGUUAAACUUCUUUUGUGCGGGAGCAAUAAUGGUCACGUGUGGCCAGACGAGAGUACCGUACGAAUAAGGAUCGGCUAACUCCGGUCCAGCAGCCGCGGUAAUAAGGGAGAAGCAAGCGUUAUCCGGAUUUAUUGGGUUUAAAGGGUGCGGAGGCUGGUAGGUAAGUUAGCGGUGAAAUGCCCCCGGGCAACGGGGGGAAGUGCCAUUGAUACUGCCUGGCUGGAAGGCGGAUGCCGUAGGAGGAAUGUGUGGUGUAGCGGUGAAAUGCAUAGAGAUCACACAGAACACCGAUUGCGUAGGCAUCUCACGAAGCCGCGAUUGACGCUGAGGCACGAAAGCGUGGGUAUCAAACAGGAUUAGAUACCCCAGUAGUC